UUGAUUAAAACAACGCUGAAAGGUUGCGUUUAGCUUAUAGAGAGAGACUGGUGUCCACAAAGCCAUAUUUCUAUUUUAUAUUUGAACGUUAUCCGUCAUAUCGCGUUUGCCACUCUCAUGACUCUUUACGCCUCAGUAUGGACAACCGUUGUUUCUCUUGUACUACAAAGUUUAGUCUCUUUAAGAAAGAGCUGGGCUGUAAGAACUGUGGUCGUGCUUUCUGCUCCAGCUGUUUGACUUUCAGUGCUGUGGUGCCUCGCUGUGGCAACACCCAGCAGAAGGUCUGUAAACAGUGCCAUGGUCACCUUACAAGCGGAGCAUCUUCAAACAAUGCUGGGAAGUGGUCUCCUCCUGAAAAUUACAAAAAACGGGUGGCUGCCCUUGAGGCCAAACAACAGGGACAGCCAACAAAGCCUCCUACUCAUGGAGGCUAUAGAAACGUCAGAGAAGGCCUUGUACCAACCAAAGGCCUGAGUAAUGAAGACCAAGCUAUUGCAGAAAGACUUCAGAAGCUGAAAGAAGACACUAAACCAAGUAAAAAGUCUAUACCCUCUCAGAAAGAGCUUGAGUCUCGCCUUGCUGCACUGAAAGCUCCCAGCCAGUCAGUGCCUUCUCUUGGAGAGAUGGAGGAUCGUCUGGCUGCUCUUCGGGGUCAACCUCCACCAUCUCAAGGUCCUCUACCUGUGCAUAAGCCUCCAGAUAACAGGACUCAGACUGAGCAGGCCAACGAUCUGAUUACUCAGUUGACAGAAGAAGUUGCCAUUGACAACCAGCAAUCAAAUCCUGACAGCAGUGUAGAUGGCUGUAUGAAUGAUCUUAACAAAGGAGAAGAUGCAACAGUGACUGAGAAUUUGGAAGACAAUGAGAAUACAGUCAAGCAGCUUGAGGCAGAGAAGUCCCGUCUGCUGGAGGAGGCUAUACAGGAGCUGAGGAAUGAACACCAUUCUCAGGAUCAGAUCCUUGACAUGGCAAAGAGGCUGGCAAAACUGAAGGGACAGGAUCCAGACAAAGUUACUAUGGAGGACUUUCAGCAUCCUGACAGUGAGGAGGAGACUGAGGAAGAAGCUGUUAGGAGAGUCUUGAAGCAGCUCUCUGAGGAGGCUGCGUUGGAUGAGGCUAGCGGCUACAACAUACCUUUAGAACCCAGUGGACCUAAGAACACAGAAAAGAAGAAGACCUCAAGGAAGCCGAUUCCCGCGCCCAACAGUCGGAUUUCAUCAGCUGCUAUUGCACAUCAGUCAACAGACAGUGACGACGAAGAGCUUCCCUGGUGCUGCAUUUGUAACCAAGACGCUGUGCUCCGCUGUCACACCUGUGAUGGAGACCUUUACUGCAACCGCUGCUUCAGGGAAGGCCAUGAUAAAUAUGACAGGAUGGAGCAUCACACCACAAACUACACUGCACCAAAGAAGAAAAAGAAGACAUGAUAGUGAGACUGUGCUGAAGGUGUUUGCCUCAUCAAGCUCUGGCCUGUUAGUACUGUUAGACUAGUGCUUUAGACGGUCUUUAAGGAACACACUGGCAAGUUUGUUAGUAAAGCUGGAGAAGAAACGAGUCUCAGUCAGCCUGCUCUGUCUCCCUCCUCUGUGUCUGUGGGUCAGAGCUGCUGUGACUGCAGUGUGAUAGCUGAAAUCAGAGUAAGACAUAAGGACCAAGUAAGAUUUUUUUAAUUAUUUAAAUAAAGUAAUAUAAAUGCACAUAAAUGGUACUUCAUUUACCUGCUUUUUUCAUUUUUUUAUUUAAAAAAUUUCAAUAUAUCACAGAGACAAAAACUACUGCAGUAUCAGUUUUUUCCCAUGUUGCUCUGCCCUACUUUGAAGUGUGUAUUUCUCAACUCAAAACAUAGAUAUUGAGUAGAAUAAAAAGAAAUACAAAACUUUGAAUUUUUACAGUACUGCAGGAACUUCUAAAGGUGCAAUAGUGGCACUAUCGUAAACUUUAAGUUCUUUCUGCAGGCAUUUUUGUAAACCCUACAAGCAGCCUUUAAUUUGAUUAUGUAAUUUCACAGCCUGACAUUUUGAUUGCAGUCAGAUUAAUUGUGGGGCACUAAAUCAGCCCAUAAACAUGUUCAUUUCAGUCAUAAAAUUUUUACAUACAAUCUAAAGCUACUUUAUUAGCCAGUCUCAACUGGACAGAGGAAGAACUGCAAGUGGCUUCAUUUUUUCAACACCAAAGGUUGCUGUUUGUUGUGCAGCCACUAUUCAUGAAUUUUUGUCAUACUAUUCUGGAUAUUCAUUAACUGUGAAAAGCAAGUUUUUGCACAGGACUAAAUUUCUAGUUCCAAGUCCAGCACUUGGAGGUUACCAUAAUAUUUAUUCAGUACAUUUAAGCUCCAUAAAAGAUCAACUAAAAUUACUGGGUGAUGAAUUUUUAGUCUUUUGUAGAGCUGACUCAAGAAGCAACACACAAAAAUUCCAAUGUACCUGUACUGUCCUGUACCUGUGCAAAUGGCAAUAAACAUCUAUUUAUUCUAUGAAAAGGCUUAAAUUUUUACUUAAGCUGAGUUUUUCAGCAUGAUUCGACAGUUGUAGAGAUUUGGGUCCUGUCGGCUCCAGAAGUCUGUUCCAUCUACUGUGUGAUUUAAUAAUGAACGACAACCAGGCACACACCUGAGACACCUCACGACCUCCUGACAGUAAAGUCUAGCAUGUCUGAUUUUGUCCUGCCUUCUACAAUUGUUCCAUGAACCCAGUGAUGUUUGUAAGACCACAUAGCGCUCUGCACAAGCAUCAGUCACAAAUGUAAACAAAACAAAGGGCAAUGGCCAAAGAAUAAAGACGAAGUCUGUGCUGUUAGAUGGGACAAUGAGUUGAAGGAAAAGUUUGUUGAGCUCUGAAAACAACACAACUAGUAGCUGGUUCUCCUCAAAUGACGCUGAUUGGUCUGGUUCAUUCUCAGACCUGGCACAAUCGUUUCAGACUGGAACUGAAUCUGCCUGAUGACAAGACAUGGAAUCUGGUCCAUCCUUUAUGGUUUUAUGAUGUGCUGUAGAGGGACUACCAUAACAGACUGAUAAAAGAUAAAUACUGGCAAGCAACAACAACCAGUGAGUCAGUGCUGUUAGCAUUAGCAUCAGGCUAGCCUAUCAUUCAUUGUCAUGUUUGGUUAGACAGGCAUAUACAGUAUAGCACAGUAAAUACAGUAUAUUGUUGCCAAAGAUUUUAGAAGGGAGUGUGGGGCCCUGUCUACUCUGAGGAUGUCAAAAUGAGAUAUACAGAUAUUUAUUUUAGAGUAAUGUUAGUAACAUAAUGUACCAUGGUGUGCUAAAGCCUCCCUAAAUGAUUAAAAAUGAAGAGGAUCCUUUGAUUUUUGAGGGAAAAAAGUACAUUUUUGAGAUUGAGAAGUCACGUAUUUACCAAGAGACCAAACUCAGAAUGUCUGAGUUAAAAAAGUUGUACAUUUUCUGGGAAAAAGCAGGAAAUUGCGACGUUUAAAAGCUGUAUAUUUUGACAUCAUAAACUCAAAAAUUGUAAGUUUUAAAGUCUUAAAUUUACAACAUUUUUACAGUCAAAAAUUUUACGUGAAACCAUAUUGAAAACAAUUGCAGAAUAACCCCAGUUUACAGAAAUGUCUCUUCUAAAUCCAGAUUGUGAUGAUAAUCAGAUUAUUCUGGGCUAAAAUCACAAAUACUUCCUUAUUGCUCAGUCCCAGUGAGGGGUGUCAUCUGAUUAGGCUCUCAAAUGCAGGACUACAUCUGGUGUGUAAUCUGGUAGGAUUUUCUCACACUCAAUUGGCCAUUUUUCAACUUUAUGGUCUCAAAAAUUCUCCACUUUGUUUCAUACAAAUCUACAGCUUUUAAAGUAGAAAGCCUUUUUUUCCCUCAUAAAUUUACAACUUAUUAAACUUGAAAACUUUUAGCAUUCUCUUGAAAUCAAAAGAUACUCCUUAUUCUUCUUAGAGUAGCCCUUAUAUGCUGUUGUAAUAAUGGAUAGUUUACACAAAGAUCUUUUGGCAAGGAUUUAUUACAUUAUUAGGCCUAUUAUGUUGGGAUUUUGCGAUGUUUAAUUUUUCCAAGUGGGUUCUGGGGGGGCUUAGCUUUUCUUAGACAUGAGUAGGGGGGUCCUUAUAGAAAAACGGCCGGGAACCACUGUCCUAAACUGACUUUGUAACCAUCAUAACAAACUGUGAAAUUGUGUAGUCUGACCUCAUCUUUAGUGAAAUCUAACAUUAUGCAGACAAAAUCUUACAGCCUUCUUGAAACACUCAUUCUCCCAAAGAAGAGAUCAAAAACUCUUUUGUAGUCCAUCACUUUCUAUCUCCCAAAAUUAGGGGUAUAAAGGUCCUUAAAUAAAACUGACUUUAAACAAAUGUGAUCCACAGAAGAUGAAUAUUUUUAAAUGCUUUUUAAUGUUGCUGUAUUUUCUUCUGUUUGCAGUGGGCUGCUUAGAUAACCAGCUGCUUUUAUUUAGCUUCAUACUGAAUGGAUAUAGUCUCUCAAAGAGCUAAUAAGCAGAAUCCCUUCAUUAGAAGCUUUAAAGGCACUGUUAAGAACUGUUGGUUUGUG